rnacentral:rRNA from 1 species
GGCGUGCUUAACACAUGCAAGUCGAGCGGUAAGGCCCUUCGGGGUACACGAGCGGCGAACGGGUGAGUAACACGUGGGUGAUCUGCCUCGCACUUCGGGAUAAGCCUGGGAAACCGGGUCUAAUACCGGAUAUGACCACUGAUCGCAUGGUCGGUGGUGGAAAGAUUUAUCGGUGCGAGAUGGGCCCGCGGCCUAUCAGCUUGUUGGUGAGGUAACGGCUCACCAAGGCGACGACGGGUAGCCGACCUGAGAGGGUGACCGGCCACACUGGGACUGAGACACGGCCCAGACUCCUACGGGAGGCAGCAGUGGGGAAUAUUGCACAAUGGGCGAAAGCCUGAUGCAGCGACGCCGCGUGCGGGAUGACGGCCUUCGGGUUGUAAACCGCUUUUGACAGGGACGAAGCGCAAGUGACUGUACCUGUAGAAUAAGGACCGGCCAACUACGUGCCAGCAGCCGCGGUAAUACGUAGGGUCCGAGCGUUGUCCGGAAUUACUGGGCGUAAAGAGCUUGUAGGCGGUUCGUCGCGUCGUUUGUGAAAACUUGGGGCUCAACCUUAAGCUUGCAGGCGAUACGGGCGGACUAGAGUACUUCAGGGGAGACUGGAAUUCCUGGUGUAGCG